rnacentral:rRNA from 1 species
CAUAGCGACUAUCGUGGCAUAUCAAUAAGCGGAGGAAAAGAAACUAACAAGGAUUCCCCUAGUAACGGCGAGUGAAGCGGGAAGAGCUCAAAUUUGAAAUCUUCAAGGUUUGACCUUGACGAAUUGUAGUUUAUAGAAGUGUUUUCUGUUAGUGGAGUGGCAAAAGUUCUUUGGAAUAGGACAUCAUAGAGGGUGAGAAUCCCGUAUUUGGUCAUUCCUCCUAGCGUUGUGAUACACUUUCAACGAGUCGGAUUGUUUGGGAAUGCAGUCCAAAAUGGGUGGUAAAUUUCAUCUAAAGCUAAAUAUUGGCGAGAGACCGAUAGCGAACAAGUACCGUGAGGGAAAGAUGAAAAGAACUUUGAAAAGAGAGUUAAACAGUACGUGAAAUUGUCAAAAGGGAAGCGUUUGACACCAGUGUUGUUUUUCCGAAAAUCAAUUACGAAUGUUUUGUUUCUGAGGAAGUUAUGACUUCAUCGGCUUGCCUUCUCUCUUUACGAAACUUUCUUAAUGCACUUUUCGGUUAACAAGUCAACAUCAAUUUCUUUUGUUGUAAAAGGGUAUGAGGAAGGUGGCUUUCUUUUCGGAGAAAGUGUUUAUAGCCUUGUACCUCUGCAAUCGGAGAGAUUGAGGUCUGCAGCGUAGAUCCUUCGGGGUUAGAUACAUUUGUGCUAAGUUAUAGCUUUUCAUAGACAACUUGUUGACUAUGUUAAGUCUUGUAGCUUACUCGCUUAUGCUAUUUUACCUACGCUUAGGAUGUUGAUAUGCAUGACUGAUAU